AAGUUUGAAACAAGCUGUUAACAAUUUUUACAAGACAGUGCUAACAAGUUUGUUGGAACCAUGAUAUAGCAAGGAUGUUCCAAGGUUGUCAACACAAGGUUGUCAACACAAGGUUGUAACAAUCUUGUUAUAUCAAGCAUGUAACAGACUUGUCAGAACAACCUUGCAACAAGUCUGAUAACUUCGACAAGGUUGUUACAAGUUGUCAACAAGUUGUUCCAAACCUGUUGACAACUUGUGACAAGCAGUGCGAAUACAUCUUGUUGACGGCUUGUUGGCAGACUUGUUACAAGAUGUGAGAAUUUUACGUGUGUAUGAGUGUGGCAGCUAAAUCAUGGAAUCCCCACGUGUUGCAAUUUUGCAAAUCAGAAAAGUCAUAUUUCACUGAGUCGGGAAGUUUAUUGAUUUAUUAAUAUUUUUUCUAAGAUGUGUUUUGUAAUUAUUUAUUAAUUGCAUUGCCUUUAGCCGCUAUCAUUAUAAUGGUUGUGUGAUCUCUAUGCAUGAGUUUUUAUUAUUUAGGACAAAAUGGUGUCUGCGGAAACAGUAGGUGGUAAACUGAAAGAAGCUGCAACAAAGAAAGCUGAUGAAAGUAUUUUGAUUCAAAUUGCUGAUAAGGACCUAGCAUUGAAAGUGGAAUAACCAUAAACAAUGUUAUGAAAAGUACAUGUGUAAAAGGUUUUCACAACUUGUUUUCCAUAGACCAAAGUUAUGAAACAAGAGUGAAAUUGUUUAUGCAGAGUGCCUCAGUCAAGAAAAAGUUUUAUGGAUGAUGACAUAGAAACAUCUCAGAGUUCACACAAGAGUCUGAUUCUGAUGUUGACAUUGUAAUGAAAACAUUGACAUACACAAGUGCAACAUUGAAAGAAAUGUACUGUAUACAGUUGGCCUAACAUUGAGAAACAACUUGCAUAAUUGUACAUCAGCUUGGUACAAGAACUGGCCACCACAUGUAUCAGAUAUUACUGGAAUAAUGUUGAUGUGUUAAUAGUUGCUUGUGCAACAGCUGAAUCAUAUGCCAUUACCAAAGAUAGUGAGAGACAAUGUCCAAAACCACUCAAAAUCUUAAAUAUCAGGCCAGAACAACCAAACAUAGUGCUAGGGACUUGGGUAUCUGUACUUUCCCCCUAUUAGAAAUAUAGACCAAAUUUUGACACAGAGAAAAAUCUUUGAUGUAGUUUGGUCAUCUAAUUCAAUGUAGUCAGUCUACUGUUUUCACAGAUACCAUUUUGUCCAGCUUUCGCUUUUUCGACUUCUAAACAAUAAAAAAACCAUGCAUA